AAAUUGAAGAGUUUGAUCAUGGCUCAGAUUGAACGCUGGCGGCAGGCCUAACACAUGCAAGUCGAGCGGAAACGACACUAACAAUCCUUCGGGUGCGUUAAUGGGCGUCGAGCGGCGGACGGGUGAGUAAUGCCUAGGAAAUUGCCUUGAUGUGGGGGAUAACCAUUGGAAACGAUGGCUAAUACCGCAUAAUGCC
rnacentral:rRNA from 1 species